CGUUUGGCUGGGGAAGUAACAGUUCCGGGCAGCUGGCCCUCAGUGGGCGUAAUGUCCCAGUGCAAAGCAACAAACCUCUCUCAGUCGGUGCACUGAAGAAUCUAGGUGUGGUUUAUAUCAGCUGUGGUGAUGCGCACACUGCGGUGCUUACCCAGGACGGGAAAGUGUUCACAUUUGGAGACAAUCGCUCUGGACAGCUGGGAUACAGCCCCACUCCUGAGAAGAGAGGUCCACAACUUGUGGAAAGAAUUGAUGGCCUAGUUUCACAGAUAGAUUGUGGAAGUUAUCACACCCUUGCAUAUGUGCACACCACUGGUCAGGUGGUAUCUUUUGGUCAUGGACCAAGUGACACAAGCAAGCCAACUCAUUCAGAGGCCCUGACAGAGAACUUUGACAUUAGCUGCCUGAUUUCUGCUGAAGACCUCGUGGAUGUUCACGUCAAACACAUUUUUGCUGGAACAUAUGCCAACUUUGUGACAACUCAUCAGGAUACUAGUUCCACACGUGCUCCCGGGAAAACCCUGCCAGAAAUAAGCCGAAUUAGCCAGUCCAUGGCAGAAAAAUGGAUAGCAGUGAAAAGAAGAAGUACUGAACAUGAAAUGGCUAAAAGGUGGCUCUGUCUGAUAAAUUAUAAGCCA
rnacentral:sRNA from 1 species